rnacentral:rRNA from 1 species
GACGAACGCUGGCGGCGUGCUUAACACAUGCAAGUCGAACGGAAAGGCCCUGCUUUUGUGGGUGCUUGAGUGGCGAACGGGUGAGUAACACGUGAGUAACCUGCCCUUGACUUUGGGAUAACUUCAGGAAACUGGGGCUAAUACCGGAUAGGAGCUCCUGCUGCAUGGUGGGGGUUGGAAAGUUUCGGCGGUUGGGGAUGGACUCGCGGCUUAUCAGCUUGUUGGUGGGGUAGUGGCUUACCAAGGCUUUGACGGGUAGCCGGCCUGAGAGGGUGACCGGCCACAUUGGGACUGAGAUACGGCCCAGACUCCUACGGGAGGCAGCAGUGGGGAAUAUUGCACAAUGGGCGGAAGCCUGAUGCAGCAACGCCGCGUGCGGGAUGACGGCCUUCGGGUUGUAAACCGCUUUCGCCUGUGACGAAGCGUGAGUGACGGUAAUGGGUAAAGAAGCACCGGCUAACUACGUG